CCUACGGGAGGCUGCAGUGGGGAAUAUUGGACAAUGGGGGGAACCCUGAUCCAGCCAUGCCGCGUGUGAAGAAGGCCCUCGGGUUGUAAAGCACUUUCAGUGAGGAAGAACGCCUGGUGGUUAAUACCCAUCAGGAAAGACAUCACUCACAGAAGAAGCACCGGCUAACUCCGUGCCAGCAGCCGCGGUAAUACGGAGGGUGCGAGCGUUAAUCGGAAUUACUGGGCGUAAAGCGCGCGUAGGUGGCUUGAUAAGCCGGUUGUGAAAGUCCCGGGCUCAACCUGGGAACGGCAUCCGGAACUGUCAAGCUAGAGUGCAGGAGAGGAAGGUAGAAUUCCCGGUGUAGCGGUGAAAUGCGUAGAGAUCGGGAGGAAUACCAGUGGCGAAGGCGGCCUUCUGGACUGACACUGACACUGAGGUGCGAAAGCGUGGGUAGCAAACAGGAUUAGAUACCCGUGUAGUC
rnacentral:rRNA from 1 species